UCCCUGGUGGCUCAGAUGGCAAAGAAUCUGCCUGCAAUGCAGAAGACCCUAGUUCAAUACCUGGGUAGGGAA
rfam:Ovis aries breed Texel chromosome 17, whole genome shotgun sequence.